rnacentral:rRNA from 1 species
UUGCCCCAGUAACGGCGAGUGAAGCGGCAACAGCUCAAAUUUGAAAUCUGGCCCCAGGCCCGAGUUGUAAUUUGCAGAGGAUGCUUUUGGCGCGGUGCCUUCCGAGUUCCCUGGAACGGGACGCCAUAGAGGGUGAGAGCCCCGUACGGUUGGACACCAAGCCUUUGUAAAGCUCCUUCGACGAGUCGAGUAGUUUGGGAAUGCUGCUCAAAAUGGGAGGUAUAUUUCUUCUAAAGCUAAAUAUAGGCCAGAGACCGAUAGCGCACAAGUAGAGUGAUCGAAAGAUGAAAAGCACUUUGAAAAGAGGGUUAAACAGCACGUGAAAUUGUUAAAAGGGAAGCGCUUGUGACCAGACUUGCGUCCGGUGAAUCACCCAGCUCUCGCGGCUGGGGCACUUCGCCGGCACAGGCCAGCAUCAGCUUGCCGUCGGGGACAAAAGCUUCAGGAACGUAGCUCUCUUCGGGGAGUGUUAUAGCCUGUUGCAUAAUACCCUUCGGCGGGCUGAGGUACGCGCUCCGCAAGGAUGCUGGCGUAAUGGUCAUCAGCGACCCGUCU